AACGAACGCUGGCGGCAUGCCUAACACAUGCAAGUCGAACGAGAUCUUCGGGUCUAGUGGCGCACGGGUGCGUAACGCGUGGGAAUCUGCCCUUCGGUUCGGAAUAACAGUUGGAAACGACUGCUAAUACCGGAUGAUGACGAAAGUCCAAAGAUUUAUCGCCAGAGGAUGAGCCCGCGUAGGAUUAGCUAGUUGGUGUGGUAAAGGCGCACCAAGGCGACGAUCCUUAGCUGGUCUGAGAGGGUGAUCAGCCACACUGGGACUGAGACACGGCCCAGACUCUUACGGGAGGCAGCAGUGGGGAAUAUUGGACAAUGGGCGAAAGCUUGAUCCAGCAAUGCCGCGUGAGUGAUGAAGGCCUUAGGGUUGUAAAGCUCUUUUACCCGGGAUGAUAAUGACAGUACCGGGAGAAUAAGCCCCGGCUAACUCCGUGCCAGCAGCCGCCGUAA
rnacentral:rRNA from 1 species